AGACCCCUGCGGUAUACGUGAUCGCGAUAAUGUCUUGAGCCAACGCUCGUGUCCUAUGAGGAAAAACGUCCUUGUCGGGGAUGACGGCUCUUGAGGCUGACUGAACUGAGACGAGGCGAUUCCUCACCUUAAUGGGGAACGGGUCAAGACUUUCAAGACACGGUAUCUGCGGGGGCUUU
rnacentral:other from 1 species